UACGGAGGAGGCAAGCGUUAUCCGGAAUUAUUGGGCGUAAAGCGUCCGCAGGUGGCCAUGUAAGUCUGCUGUCAAAGCGUCUGGCUCAACCAGAUAAAGGCAGUGGAAACUACAUAGCUAGAGUAAGGUAGGGGUAGAGGGAAUUCCUGGUGUAGCGGUGAAAUGCGUAGAGAUCAGGAAGAACACCGGUGGCGAAAGCGCUCUGCUGGACCUUAACUGACACUGAGGGACGAAAGCUAGGGGAGCGAAUGGG
rnacentral:rRNA from 1 species